CUGGACCAGUCAACCCUAUGAGAAGCGCCAUGGAAGUGUUAAAGAAGAGGAUCUAGAGGCCAGAAUAUACGAUAGCAGAAAAGCUUCAGAAGUAUGGAUGAUCUUAGGAUGAGGAAGUUGAGGUGCAAAUAUGCUAAGAUGAUUCCUUGUCUCACAGAAGUGUCAGGGCUAGGAUCUGAACCCAGGGAGUCUGGUGCUGAGGAGAACCUUAUCUGCCUUCUAAUGUAUGAUGUGAACACACCAGUAAGGGCUACGGUCAGUCUCCAUCUCCUAAAAUUGUGCUGCUCACCAGAUGCACCGACAUCACCUGGGAGCUUAUGAAAAAUGCAGCAUCUCAACCUCACCCCAGACCUACCAAAUUUUAAUUUGCAUUUUAAGAAGAUCCCCAGAUGACUCUAGGGUCCACACAAGGCUAUUAUAGUUCUUUUGUGCUUGGUUUCCCUCUUUACUCUCUGGGUCUUCUGACCAUUUCAUCUGGUUCCUGACCCAGCUUUCGGCCCUGGACUUCAGACCCACCCUUGUCAUGAACCGCAACUUGUUACCCCUUGGAUCCUGAACUAAGUCUGACGGUAGAUGCCGUAUUCGUGUGACCCCCCCCGUGAGCAUGGAGUGCUUUUUCUGUAAAUCACCACAUGUUGGGGCCAGAGCCAGCCCACUCUCAGAAAAGUUAGCAUUAGAGCUGCCUGAGAACAGACGCACCCAAUCUCUAUAACUAGCGUGCCGCCCUACCCACAGUAUAAGACGUCAUAAUUUUCUCCCCCAAAUAAAUAGAAUAUCAAAAGAUUUUCUUUUACAGUUUUUUAAAUUGAGGUAACAUUGGUUUAAA